rnacentral:rRNA from 1 species
AGCAGCCGCGGUAAUUCCAGCUCCAAUAGCGUAUAUUAAAGUUGUUGCAGUUAAAAAGCUCGUAGUUGAAUUUCGGGAUCAGUACGCUGGUCAUGCCUUUGGUAUGCACUGGUGUCACUGGUUUCUCCCUUCUGAAGAACCGUGAUGUCAUUAAUUUGGUGUCGCGGGGAAUCAGGACUGUUACUUUGAAAAAUUAGAGUGUUUAAAGCAGGCUCACGCUUGAAUACAUUAGCAUGGAAUAAUGAAAUAGGACGUUUGACCCUAUUUUGUUGGUUUCUAGGAUCGACGUAAUGAUUAAUAGGGAUAGUUGGGGGCACUAGUAUUCAAUUGUCAGAGGUGAAAUUCUUGGAUUUAUUGAAGACUAACUACUGCGAAAGCAUUUGCCAAGGAUGUUUUCAUUAAUCAAGAACGAAAGUUAGGGAUCGAAGACGAUCAGAUACCGUCGUAGUCUUAACCAUAAACUAUGCCGACUAGGGAUCGGAUGAUGUUAAUUUAUAAUGACU